UACGUAGGGUGCGAGCGUUGUCCGGAAUUAUUGGGCGUAAAGAGCUCGUAGGCGGUCUGUCGCGUCGAAUGUGAAAACCCGGGGCUCAACUCCGGGCUUGCAUUCGAUACGGGCAGACUAGAGUUCGGUAGGGGAGACUGGAAUUCCUGGUGUAGCGGUGAAAUGCGCAGAUAUCAGGAGGAACACCGGUGGCGAAGGCGGUUCUCUGGGCAUUACCUGACGCUGAGGAGCGAAAGUGUGGGGAGCGAACAGG
rnacentral:rRNA from 1 species